GAUGAAGAACGUAGCGAAAUGCGAUAAGUAGUGUGAAUUGCAGAAUUCAGUGAAUCAUCGAAUCUUUGAACGCACAUUGCGCCCCUUGGUAUUCCAUGGGGCAUGCCUGUUCGAGCGUCAUUUGUACCUUCAAGCUUUGCUUGGUGUUGGGUGUUUGUCUCGCCUUUGCGUGUAGAAUCGCCUUAAAAUAAUUGGCAGCCGGCGUAUUGAUUUCGGAGCGCAGUACAUCUCGCGCUUUGCACUCAUAACGACAGCGUCCAAAAGUACAUUUUACACUCUUGACCUCGGAUCAGGUAGGGAUACCCGCUGAACUUAAGCAUAUCAAUAAGCGGAGGA
rnacentral:misc_RNA from 1 species